rnacentral:rRNA from 1 species
ACGUUAGCGGCGGACGGGUGAGUAACACGUGGGUAACCUACCUAUAAGACUGGGAUAACUUCGGAAACCGGAGCUAAUACCGGAUAAUAUUUCGAACCGCAUGGUUCGAUAGUGAAAGAUGGUUUUGCUGUCACUUAUAGAUGGACCCGCGCCGUAUUAGCUAGUUGGUAAGGUAACGGCUUACCAAGGCGACGAUACGUAGCCGACCUGAGAGGGUGAUCGGCCACACUGGAACUGAGACACGGUCCAGACUCCUACGGGAGGCAGCAGCG